CUCCCUCCCGGGGACUAGCUCCCACCUCUCCCGAGCGCAGUCGGGCCGCGCCGACUCGCGAGGAAGCCCGGGACCCGUAGAGACUCCUUCGGGCGGCCGGGUCAGACGUGCACGAGGGAGACCCCCGUGGAAAAGCUGGGACUCGGGGGAAGGACGACGCGCCUCUCGCGUGUCGGGGAAGGNNNNNNNNNNUGGCAAUGGCCGGGCAAGGCAGGCCGGCAGCGCUCGCUCCGCUCCGCUCUUCCCUUCCCGUGUUGUCGGCUGGGGCGCGCGUGGGAACGGGGACACCUCCUGGGCCCCCGCGUUUAAAAAAAAAGAGAGAAAACUAACCGCGCUGGAUGCGCAGCCGCGUAAAGGGGGAAAAAGUAAUGAAAAAGACUGACUUCGGGAACAUUCCCUUUUUGUAUUUUUAUUUUUUUGCGGGGCGCGUACAAAAACCCUGAAUCCCCAAGGUUGGGGAUGAUGAGCUUUGUAGUUCCGCAAGAAGCCUUAUUUCCACCCCCACCCAACCCCCGGCCGUUCCGUUAGGGAGUAGCGUAGAAAAUCCCUCGGAGGGCAACGAUGGGCUGCUUCUCUUUUUUUGCGUUCUUUCUCAACCCCCCCCCCCUUUCCCUUUUAAAGACAAUAAAUAGAUGUCCGCGGUUUGGUUUCCUUGUCUGGGUUUUUUUUAAAAAAAAUGUUACGGUAUUUUAUUUUAAUUUUGGAAGGACGGGAAAAUAUCUGUUUAAAAAACGGGAGAGGAUUGGAAGGCCGGAAAGCAUCAGGCCGGCGUGGAUGGGUGAAAGAGACGGAGCGGUCGCUGCCCCGAGGCGCUUCCAGUGGGUCUUUAAACGGAGAGGAAGGUCUGACAGAAACUCUUGGACUGUGAAUUGAAACACAAGCAGGUGGACCCACGAUGGCGUCUCCGGCGGAGAGUUGCAUCCAGUUCACCCGACACGCCAGCGACGUCCUCCUCAAUCUCAACCGCCUUAGAAGCAGGGACAUUCUGACAGAUGUCGUGAUUAUCGUCAACCGGGAGCAGUUCCGAGCCCACAAGACCGUCUUGAUGGCCUGCAGGUGAGGAUCAGGGAGGUUCCCCCCUCUGCGCCCGUUGAGUUGGGCCAAACCUGUCAGUUUCACGCACACUCCCAGAUGUUCAGAUGCUCAGAUUCUGUCUCAAACCUACGGGACGAGAAUUGAGGCAAAUUCUCCACGAGAGGAACGGAGAUAAAACCUUUACCCAUCUUCACGGGUCAAAUUCAGAGGGCGCUGCCUUACAUGUUCUCUUACAUCUGGGAUUCAGAAGGACGGAAAUGGAAUGAAUUCAUUUUUUCUCCCAGAAUCAAACAUUUUCAGCAUGAAACUCUUUCCCUCUUUGCAAAUUUUGCAAACACACAGUGCAGGGGCACAGGGCGGCGGGUGCGAUGUAGGGCGUGGCUGAGGUUUUGCAGAAAGCGCAAAGGGACUUUGUGAA
rnacentral:lncRNA from 1 species